GGAGGAAUCUUCCACAAUGGACGAAAGUCUGAUGGAGCAACUCCGCGUGCAGGAUGAAGGCCUUCGGGUUGUAAACUGCUUUUAUGAGUGAAGAAUAUGACGGUAACUCAUGAAUAAGGGUCGGCUAACUACGUGCCAGCAGCCGCGGUCAUACGUAGGACCCAAGCGUUAUCCGGAGUGACUGGGCGUAAAGAGUUGCGUAGGUGGUUUGUUAAGUGAAUAGUGAAAUCUGGCGGCUCAACCGUACAGA
rnacentral:rRNA from 1 species